UUAAAGACAAGGAAUUGUGUGCUACUGAAACAUGAGCUUAAAGUUGAUUCACACAGCGGAUAGGGUAAUCUGUAACGGCUGGGGGUAAAAGGGUGAGUUGGAAGUGUCAUAUAUUAAAUCAGAGUGUUUUUCAUUCAUUAUAAACCAAUAACCAUUAUAUGAAAACACCGUUAGGGUUUUUUUUUGUUUGUUUAACGAUAGCUUCCACUUGACUUCAUCGACUGUCCGACCAGUGCUACCUAUAUAUCUAUAUCUCACAGACCAGACUUCUAGCUUUUACUGAAUUUAUCACUCAACGUGUCCAAGAACCGCCUACAUUCACGGGAAGAGGCUAUUUGAUUGGCAUUAAAAAUGACCAACCACAGAACCCCUGAGUCGCAGCUGGCUGUUUUGACCGGAAUCACCAUGUGGCCAAAGGGAUGUAAAUAACAUGCAGUACCACUUCUGCCCUACAGGGGUCUCCAUUUCCUCACGUGUCCUCCCCCACAGGCCUGAUUGCUUUCUGAAACAGAAUGAACUGUCCCUCACUCUGACGUGGUUUCUCAGUAAUUUGGAAGCACUGCCAGUUCCUUGAAAUGAUCUGUUGUCCACUGCUACACUUUUAUUCAAAGCAGGUUAUAAUUAAGAGAGUGUGCAAUCAUAGCUGAAAGCUGAGCAGAUGAGGGUUAAGGAUCUUGCUCAGGAGCCCAGUAGAGGAUAUGUCCUUAUUACUCCGGAUCCACUUGAAAACACAUCUUUUUCGCUACGUUUUGGCCUUCUGCCCACACUGAGACGCGGUUUCUGUCCGCCUCAAAAACAAGUCACGUGACCCACUCAACUCAAAACAAACUACUUGAUAGUCCUGGUUUACCCGCAGCAACACCACCACCUCUUCCUCUGUCAAUUCUAACAGCUCUAACAGUGCUUUUCCUCGACAUUCUCAAAGAGACGGAAAGUAAAUAAACGCCUGACAGAAAUGACGCAGGCCACAGCGUCUUAGGUUUUUACGCAUGCGCAGUAUAGGGAAGUAAGCGUUUUCAGACGUUUCCGUGAGGACGAGCAGUUUUUGUUAAACGUUUGAAAAGGUCAGUGUAAACAGUGUAGAGCGUUUGAACACGAAAAUGCAGUUUUCACCUCUAUCCGGAGUAAUGUGGAAACAGCCAGAGACUCUCAGGCAGUCCUACAGUUUGAACUAACAACAUUAAGAUCACUACUUCUCAACCUUAAAAACUGAGCUCCUAUUUACUGUGCAAACAAUAAAGGCUAGUUCUGACAUAUGAAACAUAAGCUCAAAUGUAAUAGUAAAAUAUACUGCCGGCAAUGAUAUGUAUUUAAUAAACAUUUAGCUCACUCAAGAAAUCAAAACCUCAAGCCAUAUCAUCAAACUCAGACUUUAUGUGUAAACACAAGCCUAUACACGUCCUAAAUACAUAUUUAAUUAACAAAAGAGGACACUGCAAUUGCAUAUUUUUAGUCCUCAAGAAAAGACAGUACUUGAAUUAGUGCCAGGUCUCAAGUUUUUCCUGUUGCUGUUUAUAUUUUAGGUUGUACCAGCCUCACCCAUGGGCUGAUAUUUAAGAAACAGGCCCUGAACUAGGAUAAGACACACACUCAUAACCUAGCCACCUAACCUUCCUCUCUGACAUUUGGCUGAUGUAAUACAAGAUCCUGAUUGGCAGUGCAGAUAUAUGUGCCAAAGAAAAAAAGGCUUAAUAUGUAAUCUGUAAAAUAUAAUACAUUAUACUACACACAAUGUUACUAUGGAAGCGUUGUGUGAUAUUUUUUAUGUAUAUAUAAGUAAUGUUCUGAAAUGUUCUGUUUGACACAUACACCAGGGGUAGACAAAUCAUAAAUAUAUUAGCUAGCCUACUGGGCAAGUACAAGCUUCAGUGUGCUGUCCAGUGCCAUGUUUUGGUUGCCCAAAAACUGACUAAGUAGUGUGAAGACCUAGUUAGCUAAUGAAGUGCAUUAAUACAGACUACAGGUAAUGAAUGAGUAUAAGAUUAUUAUCCUCUUCUAACCAAGUUUCUAAUGUAGUGCAUCAUGUUUAUGCCCUUGACAAAAUGUAAGCAAGUCGUUGGCUAGUGGUUUGAGAUUGGACAUCCUCCAAUAGUAAAAGAUAUAUUCAAGUCAUGGCAGAGUCUUCAUGCUGGUUGUCAUAUUUAACCACAACGUAACUGCAUGUAGUAAGCAGGAGACACCUUUGUGCCAAACUUUAUUUUGCUGGGCUUUGUCAGUGUUGACACAUACCUGUGUGUUCCUGAUUCAUAAAAGGCAAUCUGUCAUAAGAUAAGACGUACCUUUAUUGAUCCCCUGUAGGGGAAAUUCAAGAAUUCAAUGCACACUAAUUAAUCCGUCUAGGAAAAAUCGUUCUGUUGUCAGCCAUGUUACAUCUGUGUGCAGUGCAGGUGGUGGCAUUGGUGGCAUUCAAAAAAUGAACUUUCACCGUUGUUAGUUUCACUCAAUCCACCCUUGUUCACAUUACUUAAAAACUCAUGUAACUACAUGAACUUAAUUUAACUGUGUUGUUUCUACUAAAAAUGAAUAUUGUCAGUUUUACUCAACAAGAGUUUGUUCGGUCAACUUAACAUUGUGAAGUGAAAUGCACAAAUUAAUAAAACAUAGGCUGAACCUUUCCAUGCAUCGUAGCUGUGUAGGCCAAAGCUGAGGAACGGAAGACAGACAGAACCAUGUUGAGGAGAAGAUGCAGGUGACUCUGUAAGCUGGAGAAAACAAAGACAGCCUAGAGGAAGAGCGAUUGGCACUGCUGUCUGAGGUUCAGAAAAAGGACAAAAAAAAGGACUUUUACCUACAGAAGACAUCAAGUAAUUGAAGACAAGCCAUUUAUGUUGAAUUUGAAAGCAGAUGGCCAGCUCUGUUUUGUGAACAUGUGGUAAAUAUGAUGGUAUAACUAUAUUUGUGUUGUUAAUAGUUUGAAGUGGUGAAACAAAUUAUCUUCCCUGAUAUCACAAUGUGCUUGUUUAGUUAUUCAUGCCUAGGUAUGAAGGUAGCCUAAAUGCUGUUUUGUCUUCAGAUGUCAUUGAAUAACAUUCAAUGUAAUUUAAAAAAUGAAAGCUAUCCUUAGUAUUGUGUUAUGUCUCUUAAAUCUCUAGAUUGCUGCUGAGUUCACUCAAAUCACCACCAUCCCACUGAUUCAGAUAUUUAUGAGAGAAUUUCUUCUACAGAAUGAUACCAUUUCAAUUCAAUUCAAUUUUAUUUGUAUAGCGCUUUUAACAGUGGACAUUGUCACAAAGCAGCUUUACAGAAAUAAAUGGAUUCACAAAAAAUAUAUUGUAAAUAUGUGAAUUUAUCCCUAAUGAGCAAGCCAGAGGCGACGGUGGCAAGGAAAAACUCCAUGAGAUGAUAUGAGGAAGAAACCUUGAGAGGAACCAGACUCAAAAGGGAACCCACCUCAUCUGGGUGCAACGGCUAGUGCAAUUAUAAAUAAAUCCCUUCUAUUAUUGUGUACUAUAUGGACAAAUAGUGCAAUUGUGCAACCAAUAAAUUCAUCACAGUUUUUGCAAGAAGUCUGGUUGGUUAAAAUCUAUCCACUGUCCACUGAUGGAGUCCUGAGUACGAAGGUGUUUGUGGCAACCGCAGCCCCAAAGCUACUACAGCAAUCGCAGUCCCAAGCCAUUACAGUACAGCUCCCAAUAUGUGAUCCCCAAGCCAUCUCCACAGCCCCCAGGUGGGACUAUCCCCAGCAAACCAAAUGGUUCUUCAGACCGUCCAUAUGGGGCCGCGCCCAGCAGCAGCGAGCGAACUGAACCGAAGUAGGACAUCAGGAUGGGUCAGCCAGCGAGGAGGAGCAGAAGGGGCAUCAGGAUGGAUCAGGCAGCGAGGAGGAGCAGAAAGGGACAGGAUCACUGGCAUCUCAGAAGUAGCAAAUUUCAACUCUGAGAGCUUGCAUUGUCAGAGCACUUUCUGUGUAUCCUAAUGAAGACUAUGAAAACCUCAUGAAGGAGUAUACAACUUUGAGAAUGCUGACAGAGACAUGGCUAAUAGAGUCACUGGAAUUUACAUCAUCAAACCUGAAGAUGCAGAAAUCUGUGACGCACCAUCGGAUGUGGAAUCAUUGUUGAAGGAGUGAAAGUGCUUCAGGAGCUUGGAGGAUGUCACCAAGGCUUGUGCUCUGCUUUUGGGCGUCAUAUACAGCUUGAAUCUGAGCUAUCCGUCGGAUCUGAAGUACACCUUUGAGUUUCUUCAGAAGGUGUUUAUUGUUUUAUUGUUUUUUUAAGAACUGUAAAAUUUAAAUUGUGUUGGUGGUUAAUUAAAAAAUUAGGAGCCAGUUUAUUAUUGUUGCCUUUACUGAUGGCUCCAAAAUUUGAAAUCUUAAAAAUGGGGUUCUCAGGCAUUUUGUAGCAUGCUGCCUAUCUUGAGCUUACUGUACUUUCAUUUUUGUAUUAUUUUUGUAAGGAAGAAUUAUUAAAAUUUCUUGAAAGCAGCUGCACUUUGUAAGACCUUGGGAAGAAAAUAAAUGCAUAUUGUUUAUAAAAAUAUGCUUGUGAUUAUUUAAAAGUUUUCCACUUACACUCAUAGAGCAAAUAGUUAAAAUAAUAAGGUAAAUAAAUCAAUAACAAAUGUGUUC